rnacentral:rRNA from 1 species
ACUCCUACGGGAGGCAGCAGUGGGGAAUAUUGCACAAUGGGGGAAACCCUGAUGCAGCCAUGCCGCGUGUGUGAAGAAGGCCUUCGGGUUGUAAAGCACUUUCAGCGAGGAGGAAAGGGUGUAAGUUAAUACCUUACAUCUGUGACGUUACUCGCAGAAGAAGCACCGGCUAACUCCGUGCCAGCAGCCGCGGUAAUACGGAGGGUGCGAGCGUUAAUCGGAAUUACUGGGCGUAAAGCGUGCGCAGGCGGUUUGUUAAGCGAGAUGUGAAAGCCCCGGGCUCAACCUGGGAACCGCAUUUCGAACUGGCAAACUAGAGUCUUGUAGAGGGGGGUAGAAUUCCAGGUGUAGCGGUGAAAUGCGUAGAGAUCUGGAGGAAUACCGGUGGCGAAGGCGGCCCCCUGGACAAAGACUGACGCUCAGGCACGAAAGCGUGGGGAGCAAACAGGAUUAGAUACCCUGGUAGACAU